UAGGUCGUUUUGUAUUAGUGCAUUUACAGAGGAAAGUUUGGUUUAGUCGGCGCAACAUCUGUGGUCAUAUGCCGGAGGGAGGCAGAAGGGGAAGGAAUUAUAGGAGAAGGGAACAGACCCCAGGAGACGGGACACAACCCCCGAUUAAUACCUGGUACACUGCUGGGUGGACAGGGGCGUAGGGUAUCGGAAAAGCCGCCCAAAUUUUUCCACUCCACCCGGGAAUCGAAUCCGGGCUCUCUCGGUUCUAACAAGUGUUUCUUGAGGUUCAUGGUACUGAAGAAGGGUCAGACUACCACCAGGGUCAUAAAACUACUCCUGGAAAUGCCUACAACUCCUACGAAAGCCUUGUCAAAUAUGUGUUUCUAGGUUCAUGGUACAGAAGAAGGGUCACACUACCACCAGGGUCAUAAAACUACUCCUGGAAAUGCCUACAACUCCUACGAAAGCCUUGUCAAAUAUGUGUUUCUAGGUUCACAGUACAGAAGAAGGGUCACACCACCACCAGGGUCAUAGAACUACUCCUGGAAAUGCCCACAACUCCCACGAAAGCCUUGUCAAAUAUGUGUUUCUAGGUUCACAGUACAGAAGAAGGGUCACACCACCACCAGGGUCAUAGAACUACUCCUGGAAAUGCCCACAACUCCUACGAAAGCCUUGUCAAAUAUGUGUUUCUAGGUUCACAGUACAGAAGAAGGGUCACACCACCACCAGGGUCAUAGAACUACUCCUGGAAAUGCCCACAACUCCUACGAAAGCUUGUCAAAUAUGUGUUUCUAGGUUCACAGUACAGAAGAAGGGUCACACCACCACCAGGGUCAUAGAACUACUCCUGGAAAUGCCCACAACUCCCACGAAAGCUUGUCAAAUAGGUGUUCUUGGGCGCCGAAAUGUCUUAUGAUACAACCCUUAUUGUAUGCAUCAAUUCAUGUAUGUAUAUGUUACAGUAAGAUUGUGAAACUAGGGAUUUCGUGAAAUCCCUAGAACUUUCAGAGAACUCGUGAAAUUACUGUUUCACUUCGGGACUUCAUGAAAUUACUGAAAUAUUUAUGGAUUUCAUGUAUUUACUGGUUUCACUGCAAA